AUUGAACGCUGGCGGCAGGCCUAACACAUGCAAGUCGAGCGGAUGAAGGGAGCUUGCUCCUGGAUUCAGCGGCGGACGGGUGAGUAAUGCCUAGGAAUCUGCCUGGCAGUGGGGGAUAACGUCCGGAAACGGGCGCUAAUACCGCAUACGUCCAGAGGGAGAAAGUGGGGGAGCUUCGGACCUCACGCUAUCAGAUGAGCCUAGGUCGGAUUAGCUAGUUGGUGGGGUAAAGGCCUACCAAGGCGACGAUCCGUAACUGGUCUGAGAGGAUGAUCAGUCACACUGGAACUGAGACACGGUCCAGACUCCUACGGGAGGCAGCAGUGGGGAAUAUUGGACAAAGGGCGAAAGCCUGAUCCAGCCAUGCCGCGUGUGUGAAGAAGGUCUUCGGAUUGUAAAGCCCUUUAAGUUGGGAGGAAGGGCAGUAAGUUAAUACCUUGCUGUUUUGACGUUACCAACAGAAUAAGCACCGGCUAACUUCGUG
rnacentral:rRNA from 1 species